rnacentral:rRNA from 1 species
UACGUAGGGUGCAAGCGUUGUCCGGAAUUAUUGGGCGUAAAGAGCUCGUAGGCGGUUUGUUGCGUCGGGCUGUGAAAAACCUGAGGCUCAACCUCAGGCCUGCAGUCGAUACGAGCAGACUAGAGUGUUGCAGGGGAGACUGGAAUUCCUGGUGUAGCGGUGAAAUGCGCAGAGUAUCAGGAAGAACACCCGUGGCUAAGGCGGCUCUCUAGUACGG